UCUAGUGUCACAAAAACUAGUAAAAAGAAAGUGUUCUUGUGAUUUUCAGAAAUGUUCCAAAGCAGAGCAUGUCGACAGCAGGAGGACGGUUAAAGCAGAAAGGUUGACCAAGGAGGAUGCAAUAUUCAUCUUGAAUAUUAAACACUGUACGAAAUGCCUUUCAAUAAAUGGAAGCAAUAGUGAGGAAGAAGGUGGAUUCCUAUUCUGUGUGAUGUAUGCAUAUAAUUCAUCAGAGGGAAGCAUUCUGGACCAAAUAAUUUGAGGCACGGUAUCGAGGGAAAAGAACUCAUUCCUUCAUGAAGAGGCACUUUUAGAGAUACCCACUGGCCUUGCUAGGAACCUGUGCAGGCAAAAUGGAUCCCAUCGCAAGAUCUGAACAGGACAUUGCCCCAGAGAUGAUUGAUCAUAGCAACAGUGAAGAGUAAGAGGAGGUAACAAUUUAUAGAUAAGUAAUUAUUAUCCUCUCAGCUGUUUUGCUUGCUACUUGCAAAUAUAGAAACGUAUUUAAUAUAAUUUUGAGGAUAUGCAGAAUAUUUUUAGUUUUG
rnacentral:lncRNA from 1 species